rnacentral:rRNA from 1 species
UACGUAGGUGGCAAGCGUUACUCGGAAUUACUAGGCGUAAAGCGCAGGUAGGUGGUUGGGUAAGUCCGCAAUGAAAUCUCCCGGCUUAACUGGGAGAGGUUUGUAGAUACUGCUUGACUCGAGUGUGGGAGAGGUAACUGGAAUUCCAGGUGUAGCGGUGAAAUGCGUAGAUAUCUGGAGGAACACCAAUGGCGAAAGCAGGUUACUGGCCCAAUACUGACGCUGAGCUGCGAAAGCUAGGGGAGCAAACAGGAUUAGAAACCCCAGUAGUCC